ensembl:lncRNA
AAAGAAUGGUCUCAUCAACAGUUCACCAAUUAAAUGCCCAUAGUUACAAAGAGAUCAUUAUAAAGCUUACCUUAACAGAAGGGACAAGCCCCACAGCAAAUCAGUGCAUACAAAUUCAUAAAGCAAGUGACAAACCAAAAAGAAACUACAGCAAAAGAAACAAAUACACUCUCCCCUUCUGUUAAGCUUCAGUAUCACAGCUUGUCAAACAUUCACCUCGGUCCAGCACCGUGAUGGCCACACAGUCAGCUGCAUGCACAGGAAAAUGAAACCGUAGGAUCAGACAGUAUACAAAAACAGCCGUAAGAACAACCGUAGAUGAAACCAGUGUAAGAAACAGUAGAUACAGGGUUAUGAAACAAUAGCUAGCACUCUCAGGCCACACCUAAAAUACAAAUAAAACACGAAUAGACAUCCACUUUAAAACAAUCCCAGUGUCUUCCCAUUGGAAAUAUGCAAAGAUUAAAAUGGAAACUGAUUCAAAUGAAUCCACAAACCAUAAUAAAUCUCAUCCGGUCACAUAUUGAUUUAGAGUCCUGUUUAAGGUUCCAUGUUUGGGUUAUAAUUGCCUCUUUUUCUAUUGACGUAGACUUCUUUCAGCGCUGUUCCACUUUUUUGUAUGUCAAAAUUUUCGUGUAGGUAUAUAUUUCUUUUAACAUAAUUUUUUGUGCAUGUAUAGUCUUUGUACUUUGUAUAUUUUGGUGUAUAUUAGGUUUUGAAUAUUGUUUCGUAUAUUUAAAUGCCAUUCACUCUUCAGUUUAACUGAUUAGUUUUAAUCAAAUUAUUAUGUUGGCUUGGCACAAGAGAGUCUGAGACUAAAUUAGCAAACCUAUCUCCUCCUAGGGCUUUAAAGCCACAAGCCCCAAACUCGGCAGAGACCUGCGGCACUGGGUGUAGUUUGUUGCUAUAUCUUUUCAGACUGAUCAGACUUACAUUUUUUUAUUAUUAAUUAUUAAAAGUCAGAAAUUUCCCAUAGACUCCCAUUGUCUGAGAAAAAUUGCGCCUCUACAAGAGCAAUUCCCGGGACUGAGGGAGGAGUCUG